rnacentral:rRNA from 1 species
UACGUAGGUGGCGAGCGUUGUCCGGAUUUACUGGGCAUAAAGGGAGCGUAGGCGGACUUUUAAGUGAGAUGUGAAAUACCCGGGCUCAACUUGGGUGCUGCAUUUCAAACUGGAAGUCUAGAGUGCAGGAGAGGAGAAUGGAAUUCCUAGUGUAGCGGUGAAAUGCGUAGAGAUUAGGAAGAACACCAGUGGCGAAGGCGAUUCUCUGGACUGUAACUGACGCUGAGGCUCGAAAGCGUGGGGAGCAAACAGGAUUAGAUA